CAUGAAUGCAGUGUGCAGUCUGACGGGGUAGCAGCCAAUUCUUUUUUUUUUAGAAACAUUUUCCCGUCUUUUUUUUAUUUUUAUUUUGGAUUUUUAUUUAUUUUUUAUUUUUUUUGCAGCCAUCAUUCCCUGCGUCGGUGUGCAGCAGCAGCAGCAGCAGCAGUCGGAGUUGGGGGGUGGGGGGGUGUGGAGGAGAAGGAGAAGGAGGAGGAGGAGGAGGACUCGGCGGCAGAUCGCACCGUGAAGGUAUCAUCACCAUCAUCAUCAUUUUCCGGGGCUCAAGACGAUGGAUGCAGGCUCAUCCGGACCUGUUCCUGCAAACGCAUCCACAUCUUCCGCAUGUUGCAAGGUGUCUCUGAAAAGGCUCCGGAGCUGCGGAGGAAAUGAGAAGAAGGGUCUAUUUUGACUCACGCCUGUCGAGAUGGAGAUAUCAUUAAGAAGACCUGUACAUUCAAGAUCACACGCACCUCAUUAGAUGAUUAAGAAUCACUAUAGUUGUGCGCAAGAACAAGGCGGCACCUCUAAGCUGUGACCUCCGAUGUUUUCAUUUCUGUCGGCGCUGAAUCACAGCAAACAUUGAUCCCAUCAUCGACCCAAUGUAGGAACUGCUCCCUCCGAUUCCCACAACCUCUACGCUUGCUUGGAUUUCAGCAUUCAAUUAAAUCCACCAGGUUUGUAUUAUAAUGUGCCUAGGAGGAGGACAUCAUAUUUUCUUUAUGAGUAUUGAUCUCAUUCCAGGAUUUAAAGCCAUAGAUCAUAGCGAGAACAAACUAACAAGCCAAUUGAGACAAAAAUGAUGUUCAGAUUCAGUGAUUUAGUAAAAUGGACAUAAAAACACAUAUGCAAGGCCUUUCCAUGUUUAGGUAGCUUCUCUCCUGGUCGAUCGUGACUUUAUUCUUGCUUUUCUCCUUUGGUU
rnacentral:lncRNA from 1 species